rnacentral:snoRNA from 10 species
CAGCAGGUUAAGUUACAGUGCAGCUGCUGCAGUGCUGUGUUGUCGUUCCCCCUGCAAAAAUAAGUUGUUACCUUCUAUCCCUGUGUGUUGACAUUCCCCGAUAGGCAGGGACGCUUGGUUUCACACAG